GGCCACCCUGUGGGUCACUGGCUGCUCUCCCGUGAGCACAGAAUGGAGCUGAAGCAGCACGGGCGGUUUUGCACCAUGUCCUCCUUCAGGGACCAUCCCUGCCCUGUCCCGUGUGGGUGACCUGCAUGACUGGGCAGCCCGGGCUGCUUCCUGUCCUGCUGUCCUGAUGUCGGAGCCACCAGCAGGGACGGGAUUUCACUCAAGGGACCAGGACCCACCAUGUGCGGGGCAGCCAGUGGCACCGGAGGCCAGAAACUCCUGAAGGGCAGCCAGGGCAGGGUGUGACCUGCGGAGCUGCCCAGGUGGGCAGAGGGAUGCAGUGCACAUAGGGAUGAGCACCAAGGCAGGGAGCAGGCAGAGGUUUGUCCUUAUCCAGGUUUCCCCCAGCUUCUCCAGCUCUUCUCCCUUGGCACGGAGGAGAGGGAGGGCGAGCUGGUUGCCCGCCAGUGCCGUGUUUGGGAGCAGCAGCUCGGGAGUUCUCCCAGCGCGGGAGCCGCUGCUGCGAAACCGUCAGAGCAACGUGAUGCGACGUGCAGAGCGGUGAUGUGACAGUCCCGUGGUGCCAUGUCCAAAAUAGUUAGCACAGCUCGCGCUCCUUGGAGGGCUCUGAGCAGGGUCGGGCAGUCCCACAGGCAGCCUGCUGGGAACAGAGCUGGAUCCUGCACGGCCCCAGCCCUGGGAAGCCGCCAUCCCCGAUGGGAGACAGCGUCCCCCCACCCUCCGUGCCACCCCCUGCGCCUGGGGGUGCCCUGCAGGGAGAGCGCAGCUUCCCCCAGCAUGGCCGACCUGGCCCUCCGGAUGUCAUCCCCUCAGAAAAGACCGUCCCUGCAACCAUCACUCCCUCUGAGAAGAUUGUCCCACCCGUCCCUGCAGCCAUCAGCCCCUCUGAGAAAAUUGUCCCA
rnacentral:lncRNA from 1 species